GACGAACGCUGGCGGCGUGCUUAACACAUGCAAGUCGAACGAAGUGGCGAACGGGUGAGUAAUACGUGGGUAACCUGCCCUCCUUUUUGGGAUAAGCCUUGGAAACGGGGUCUAAUACCGACAAAAGGAGGAUGGGCUCGCGGCCUAUCAGCUUGUUGGUGGGGGGAUGGACUAACAAGGCGGUGACGGGUAGCCGGCCGGGGAGGGUGACCGGCCACAUAGGGACUGAGAGACGGCCCAGACUCCGACGGGAGGCAGCGGUGGGGGAUAUUGAACAAGGGGAGACAGGAUGCUGCAGCGUCGCCGCGAGGGGGAUGAAGGUUUUCGGGUUGUAAACCUCUUUCGCUAUCGAAAGGGUAGGUGGAGAAGAAGCGCCGGCUAACUACGUGCCAGCCGCCGCGGUAAUAC
rnacentral:rRNA from 1 species